rnacentral:rRNA from 1 species
AGCAGUCGCCGCGGUAAUACGUAGGUCCCGAGCGUUGUCCGGAUUUAUUGGGCGUAAAGCGAGCGCAGGCGGUUAGAUAAGUCUGAAGUUAAAGGCUGUGGCUUAACCAUAGUACGCUUUGGAAACUGUUUAACUUGAGUGCAGAAGGGGAGAGUGGAAUUCCAUGUGUAGCGGUGAAAUGCGUAGAUAUAUGGAGGAACACCGGUGGCGAAGGCGGCUCUCUGGCUUGUAACUGACGCUGAGGCUCGAAAGCGUGGGGAGCAAACAGGAUUAGAUACCCCCGUAGUCCCUGUCUCUUAUACA